rnacentral:lncRNA from 10 species
AGAAGCUUGGAUGAGUAAGAAGGCCCCACUCAUGGUUCACACCUGCUGCUAUGUUACCUGGAGCCUCAGUCACCUUUUCUGUAAAAUGGGGCUGAGAACAGGAGAUUGAUCGGAUGGCGUUAGAUUUGGCAAAUGCAGGCAUUUUAAAAAUGAGAAUUGGAGGAAUUGCUAUGAUUUACCCAAAGCCGUGUAAAAGAGAGAUAAAUAUUCAAUAAUGCGUUUGGACAGUCUUGGAUAAAGUUUGGAUCGCCAUAUGCAAACCCACCACGGACACCAUAAACCAUUCCGAUGCAAACUCUGCUCCUUCAAGUCCUCCUAUAACAGCCGGCUGAAAACACAUAUACUCAAAGCUCAUGCUGGUGAGCAUGCCUACAAGUGUUCUUGGUGCUCAUUCUCCACCAUGACAAUCAGCCAGCUGAAGGAACACUCCCUCAAGGUCCACGGAAAAGCCCUGACCCUCCCCAGGCCACGGAUCGUCAGUCUCCUCUCCUCACACUCCCACCACUCCUCCCAAAAAGCUACCCCGGCUGAAGAAGUG